AGAGUUUGAUCAUGGCUCAGGACGAACGCUGGCGGCGUGCUUAACACAUGCAAGUCGAGCGCACUUGCCUUUGGGUGGGUGAGCGGCGAACGGGUGAGUAACACGUGGGUGACCUGCCCUUCACUCUGGGAUAAGCCUGGGAAACUGGGUCUAAUACCGGAUAUUCACUUUUCCUCGCAUGGGGGUUGGUGGAAAGUUUUUUCGGUGGGGGAUGGGCCCGCGGCCUAUCAGCUUGUUGGUGGGGUGAUGGCCUACCAAGGCGACGACGGGUAGCCGGCCUGAGAGGGCGACCGGCCACACUGGGACUGAGACACGGCCCAGACUCCUACGGGAGGCAGCAGUGGGGAAUAUUGCGCAAUGGGCGGAAGCCUGACGCAGCGACGCCGCGUGGGGGAUGACGGCCUUCGGGUUGUAAACCUCUUUCGACCUCGACGAAGCUUUCGGGUGACGGUAGGGGUAGAAGAAGCACCGGCCAACUACGUGCCAGCAGCCGCGGUAAUACGUAGGGUGCGAGCGUUGUCCGGAAUUAUUGGGCGUAAAGAGCUCGUAGGCGGUCUGUCGCGUCGGUCGUGAAAACCUGCAGCUUAACUGUGGGCUUGCGGUCGAUACGGGCAUGACUGGAGUUCGGCAGGGGAGACUGGAAUUCCUGGUGUAGCGGUGAAAUGCGCAGAUAUCAGGAGGAACACCGGUGGCGAAGGCGGGUCUCUGGGCCGAUACUGACGCUGAGGAGCGAAAGCGUGGGGAGCGAACAGGAUUAGAUACCCUAGUAGUCC
rnacentral:rRNA from 1 species